UCAGUCGACUCCUACGGGGAGGCAGCAGUGGGGGAAUAUUGCACAAUGGGCGCAAGCCUGAUGCAGCCAUGCCGCGUGUGUGAAGAAGGACCUUCGGGUUGUAAAGCACUUUCAGUCGUGAGGAAGGUAGUGUAGUUAAUAGCUGCAUUAUUUGACGUUAGCGACAGAAGAAGCACCGGCUAACUCCGUGCCAGCAGCCGCGGUAAUACGGAGGGUGCGAGCGUUAAUCGGAAUUACUGGGCGUAAAGCGCAUGCAGGUGGUUUGUUAAGUCAGAUGUGAAAGCCCGGGGCGUCAACCUACGGAAUUGCAUUUGUAAACUAGGCAGACUAGAGUACUGUAGAGGGGGGUAGGAAUUUCAGGUGUAGCGGUGAAAUGCGUAGAGAUCUGAAGGAAUACCGGUGGCGAAGGCGGCCCCCUGGACAGAUACUGACACUCAGAUGCGAAAGCGUGGGGAGCAAACAGGAUUAGAUACCCUGGUAG
rnacentral:rRNA from 1 species